rnacentral:rRNA from 1 species
UACCGAGGGUGCGAGCGUUGUUCGGAAUUAUUGGGCGUAAAGGGCGCGUAGGCGGUGCGGUAAGUCACCUGUGAAAUCUCCUGGCUCAACUGGGAGCUUGCAGGCGAAACUGCCGUGCUGGAGUGUGGGAGAGGUGCGUGGAAUUCCUGGUGUAGCGGUGAAAUGCGUAGAUAUCAGGAGGAACACCUGUGGCGAAAGCGGCGCACUGGACCACAACUGACGCUGAGGCGCGAAAGCUAGGGGAGCAAACAGG